rnacentral:rRNA from 1 species
CCUACGGGAGGCAGCAGUGGGGAAUCUUGCACAAUGGAGGAAACUCUGAUGCAGCGAUGCCGCGUGAGUGAAGAAGGCCUUUGGGUUGUAAAGCUCUUUUGUAGGGGAAGAUAAUGACUGUACCCUAAGAAUAAGGUCCGGCUAACUUCGUGCCAGCAGCCGCGGUAAUACGAAGGGACCUAGCGUAGUUCGGAAUUACUGGGCGUAAAGCGCGCGUAGGCCGUUGAGUUAGUUAAUUGUGAAAUCCCAAAGCUUAACUUUGGAACUGCAAUUAAAACUGCUCGACUAGAGUUUGAUAGAGGAAAGCGGAAUACAUAGUGUAGAGGUGAAAUUCGUAGAUAUUAUGUAGAACACCAGUUGCGAAGGCGGCUUUCUGGAUCAACACUGACGCUGAGGCGCGAAAGUAUGGGUAGCAAAGAGGAUUAGAUACCCUCGUAGUCCAUACCAUAAACGAUGAUUGCUAGAUGUUGGAAAAUUUAUUUUUACUAGUAUCGCAGCUAACGACAUUAAGUACAACUCCGUCCGUCGGGGUAGGGUACGGACCGGACCGAACGGUUAAAACCGUUAACCAAACUAGUAAUUAGUACGGCGUGAGACGUCGCCCGAACGGACGACCGACCGAGGGGAGGUAGGG